AUUGAACGCUGGCGGCAGGCCUAACACAUGCAAGUCGAACGAGUGGCGGACGGGUGAGUAAUGUCUGGGAAACUGCCCGAUGGAGGGGGAUAACUACUGGAAACGGUAGCUAAUACCGCAUACCAUCAGAUGUGCCCAGAUGGGAUUAGCUAGUUGGUGGGGUAACGGCUCACCAAGGCGACGAUCCCUAGCUGGUCAGAGAGGAUGACCAGACACAUGGGAACGGAGACACGGUCCUGACCCCUACGGGAGGCAGCAGUGGGGAAUAUGGCACAAUGGUCGCAAGCCUGAUGCAGCCAUGCCGCGUGUAUGAAGAAGGCCUUGGGGUUGUAAAGUACUUUCAGCGGGGAGGCGUUACCCGCAGAAGAAGCACCGGCUAACUCCGUGCCAGCAGCCGCGGUAAUUC
rnacentral:rRNA from 1 species